rnacentral:rRNA from 1 species
CCUACGGGUGGCAGCAGUGGGGAAUAUUGCGCAAUGGGCGAAAGCCUGACGCAGCGACGCCGCGUGAGGGAUGAAGGUCUUCGGAUCGUAAACCUCUGUCAGCAGGGAAGAACGGUCAAUGUGCUAAUCAGCAGUGAAUUGACGGUACCUGCAAGGGAAGCACCGGCUAACUCCGUGCCAGCAGCCGCGGUAAUACGGAGGGUGCGAGCGUUAAUCGGAAUUACUGGGCGUAAAGCGCUCGUAGGCGGUAUGUCAAGUCAAGUGUGAAAGCCCCGGGCUCAACGUGGGAACUGCCUUUGAGAUUGGCAAACUGGAGUGUGUGAGAGGAUAGUGGAAUUCCAGGUGUAGGAGUGAAAUCCGUAGAUAUCUGGAGGAACAUCAGUGGCGAAGGCGACUAUCUGGCACAUAACUGACGCUGAGGAGCGAAAGCGUGGGUAGCAAACAGGAUUAGAGACCCCAGUAGUC